rnacentral:lncRNA from 1 species
GAUAUGAAAAACACGGGUGAAUUAUUAACAAUCGUACCGGCGUGUUAGGGAAGUUCACACCAAUUCCUAAUAUUGAAGAUAAGCUCUUAGUUAGUUGGUUAUCUUCUUCACUCCAAGCUCCUUUCUUGAUACUGUUUUUGUCCACGCAAUGUGCUCUCACCAUUGUUGAUGAUCUUUAUAUCAACCUAUUUGCGUUGGUGUCGUAUUUACACAAUCUGCGUCUCUCUCACGGACUGAGACUGGCGCUCGAUUGUGGUGGUCCAGUGGGCUAAACCAGCGGCAAAGAUGGUGGUGGUUGAGGAGGUGGAGGGCGAAAGCCGGUGUAGAACGGAUCGGAGGUGGUGACAAGUUACGGUGUUUGAUACCUGCUAGUGGUAGGAACCCUAGAACCUCUUUGUCGCUAUCAUCUGUUCCAACCGUCUGUGUCACGAUUGUGUGCUUCUAUCACCGAGCACCACUGUCAUCCACCUCCGUUGUCAUAACACCGCAACCACUGUCAUCCACCUUGGUUGUCCACCAAAAGCUGUAAGUAGAAGAUCAAUUGGAUCGGCUUGAAUAGGGGGAAAACAAAACGCUUGGGUUUCUUGAGAUACGGUUU